rnacentral:lncRNA from 1 species
UGUUUCCAAAUAGACCCCCGGCAUCCUUCCCUCCAAGAACUUUCCACCUUGCUCUUGGGGAGACUCGAACUCACAACCUCUCUGUUGAAAGUGGGGUUGCUUACCAUCAGAGCAACCCCUCUUGUCUACAUUAAUAUCAUGUUCAUUUGUUAUAUUCGGACAAGUGUACAAAUGCAAGAUGUGAAUAAAACAAAUACAACUCUAAGACUUUGUGAAUGCAAGUAAUAUAGGACUUUGAAAAAGGAAAACACAUACUUAUAUAGACAGAGUUUUUGUUUUACCAAAAUUUAAAAGCAUCUACAAAACAAAAAUAAGUUCAAGUAUCUUGUUCGUCUUGGGGUCGCUGAGCAACUACUGCCUUCUUCUUCACCUUCGCAAUCCUAUGAACAGAAUUUCAGACUUAAUGCAACAAAAUAUUAAAUGAUAGACCAACAUAAACAAAUCCCGAAGUGUUAGGCAAAAGAGUAACAAUAUUACGCGAAACAACAAACCUACAAUAAUAGCCAAAAUUACCAUAGAUAUGACUAGUUAUGACUAACCGUUAUCUAAAGAAAAGAAGAAAUAGAGUGUAAUAUGAGAUAACAACCAACACCUUACUGGAAACAAUGCGAUGGAAGAGGAAGUCGCGAUGACUGGCACUGAACGAGUUAACCAAAUUUGCAUUUUAGACACAAGCAACAAACCAACAAACAAAAUCAAUAAUUAGAAAGUGUCGGUGUAUUAAAAUUUUAUGCUCUUAAUAGAAAAAACGAGUGACAAGGAAACAAACCUACAAGUUACAACUCGAUUUCAUCGAACGAGUUCGCUAGAGAAAGAGAUGGAGCGGAGCAUGUUCUUCAGUCGAGGGCAUUAUUUGAAACUAGGGCAAAAUUAUUGCUAAAUAGGAUCUAUAUUUGGAGGCGAUACAAUCAACUAGAGGAAUUUGGGCCACGACGGUUGCAAAAUAGCGAUAAAGCAGCAGAGGGAAUUUCGAAAAGGGUGAAAUAUUUUAGUGGUGGGAAAUUUGGAAUUGGGCGAGAUAUUUCAGUGGAUAUCUCUUUAGUAUUUUCACAAUUGGGGGGAAGGGAAAUUUUUGGGGAAAUUUUGGUAGAUAUUUUUAGAGCACACUUUAUAAGUGUUGCUUUUGGGCUGAAAAAAUAUUACCCUCCAAUAGCGUUGUAUUAUUGGUUAAAAG